GAGAAAUUUUCUAGAACCAGUUCAGCUAAACCAGCCCCAAAACUGGGUGGAGCCAUAGUGGAGACCCAAUUUAAGGCAGGCUGACCCAUUUUUACUGGUUUCAAGACUAUAUCAGGAUGAAAUGCUUUUAAAACUGGUGAGAAAAUGUCUCCUAGCCCUACAGGAACACAUACAGAAUAUAUAAACAAGUCCUUAUGGGCCGCAUUUAUGUUUUUCUAUGAAAAGAUUACAGAUUGGAUAUUGGCUAAAAGUGGAUGAACACAAUACCAGUGGAGUCUUUUCUUCAAGCAGGAGCUGAAAUCCUCCAUGUCUCAUGCCUCUGGGAAUGAUUCCUGCUGCUCGGAAAGAAAGCAAAGAUGACAAUGUGACUGGGGACCCACAACUCCACCUACUACUUCCACACGAAUGCUCGAUACAAUCAUCUGUCUUAUGAACAGCAAAAGUUUUUCCAGAAGUGGGUGGUGUUUGUUUUGUUUUUUGGUAUUAUAAGGUUCUUCAGAGUCUGUGUGUGGUUCUCCUGCCCAAGAACUAUCCUCCUUUCAUGCUCUCUUUAUCAGGAUUUACUGUGUGAUGAGGGCAGGGCCAAAACCACACGCCAUUUUGAAGUAGCUAAUUCCUCAGUCUGUUUCAAGAUUUGAGGCUUGCUUGCUGGUCUUGGACACACUCUAUUUUUCCUUCUGUUCUGAGGAUUAGUUUUUAGUGAACACCUGUAUCUAAAACCUAUUUGAAUAUUUAACUAUAUUAUAAUGCAAUCUGUACUUAUCAGACUUUCCUUUGCAUUCUUUACUUUUGCAGUGAUAAUUGCCAUAAUUAAGCAGGGGUAGAUAAAUAAUUACCCUAGUGUUAAUACUUGGAUAUCAAAGAAAGCAAUCUCCUCCACAUAAUGCCCUGUCCUCAGAUCUCACAUCUGGAAAUAUGAGUGCAAUUAGACGUUGUUUGAUUUUUUGUUUUUGUUCAUUGUUUGUUCAUAACCUGUAUUAAGGACUGAUCCAAAGCACACUUGGAGUCAAUGGAAAGAUUCCCAUUGACUUCAGUAGGCAGUGGAUCAAGCCCUUGUUGUACAUCUGUUUUCUUGUUCCAUAAUAAAAGCUUUAAUCAGCGAUAGAACAGUUUGGAAUGCUUCUGGGAGAGCCUGGGUGUGGUACUCAAGGACUGUGCUGAUCACUGUCUUGCUCCUGACUGAAGGUUGACCUGAGGGCCCUACAGAGCUAAAGCCAGGGACCGCUCCAACAUGAACUAAAGGUUCAAGUCCCGUAGCGAGCAGCUGGAACAGAUUCAUAGCCUUUGUGACUUGAAGACAGAAGCAGGGAUGCAUAACACACAGUGAACAGUGGGUUGCACUAUGAUACAGUAAAUUACUUGUACUUCAUCUUGGAGUGAUUUAUUGAAAUCACUCUCACUUUUUCUCCCUCAAUUCCACAUCCUUUCUUUGAAUUGCCACAUCUUUUUGCUCUAUUUUUCUAUCCUCUCCCUGAUUAUUUUCCUUCAGAAUUGCUCUUCUGAAACUAGGUCACCAGGUGGGUAUUUGAUUUUGCAGGAGAUCUAGCAUCUCACACUGGCCUUAGGAGAGCUGAGUUCUGAAAGUCUCCUCCUUGAGGCCUUUCUCUUUGCAGUGAACUACUGGGCAGGUUUCCCCCUGUAUCUUUAAUCAGGUUUCAAGACAUUAUAAAACAUAUAAAAAUUCCUUUUGUCUCAACCACAUACCUUAACAGUAAGAGAUGUAUCCUUAAAUAUUUCCUUAGGAAAAAUUAAUGAAGUGAAUUAAAAGAAAAAUUCUUUCAAGCCAUUCCAAACAAACUCCUUUCACAGCCUUUUAUCACGACUUCCUUGCCAGGUGGGAAAUUUAUUUAAGUUAUUAAAAAAAAUU